rnacentral:rRNA from 1 species
UACGUAGGGGGCUAGCGUUGUCCGGAAUCAUUGGGCGUAAAGAGCUCGUAGGCGGUCUGUCGCGUCGGCUGUGAAAUCCCGAGGCUCAACCUCGGGUCUGCAGUCGAUACGGGCAAACUAGAGUAUUGCAGGGGAGACUGGAAUUCCUGGUGUAGCGGUGAAAUGCGCAGAUAUCAGGAGGAACACCGGUGGCGAAGGCGGGUCUCUGGGCAAUUCCUGACGCUGAGGCGCGAAAGCGUGGGGAGCGAACGGG